CUUUCUGAUACUUUUUUAACAAAGGAAGGAAAGAAAUUCUGGCUGUUGAGAGACAGCCAUUACAUCUUCAAGGUUCUAGUAGGGACCUACCCAUUUCCUGUGCUUAUUCCCUUCUCUGUGGUAUAGAGCCUUAAAAUUUUAGUCCUAGAAGAUCCCUUGAGAGCCCUCAUCUGACUGUCUCACAUUACGGAAGAUACUCUCUGGGAUUCAGGAAGGUUAAUGAAUUGCCCGAUGUCACAAAGUGGAGUACACCAAGUCUUUUGGCUCCUUAUGCAGUUCCCACUCCUCCCUGCCCUUUGGAAUGCUUUUGUCUGAGUAGAACUGGAUUGUCAAGGUGUGGGCUCUGAUAUACCUGCUGUUUUCAUGAAGCUGGCUCUGCCAAUGUACAGAUCUCACUGAGAGAACGGGAUGCCAAGACUGAGUUACUUCAGAGAUGGAUCAGCUUAACAUGAGAGAGAAAGUCAAAAUAAAUUGCUGUGCUACAUAAUGCACUGUGGAGAAAUUCCCCUGAGGAACAGAGCUUUGAGCAAUAUGAAGAGAUGUGGCCCAAGUGUUUCAGGAAGUCCCUGGACAGACACCAAAAGCAGAGAGAAGAAGUUAAUUUAGCAACCUAGACAACAACCUGCUAUUUUCCUUUGGAUUGAUCUGUGGCUGACACUCAAGGUGUGAGGCUUACAGGACAGAGUCUUACUAUGCUAUCUAUGUUGAGCUGAAAUUCUUGGGCUCAAACAAUCCUCCUGUCUCAGCCUCCCAGAUAUAUGUGUAUGCCACCAAUAGUGGCUGACUUUGUUUUCCUCAAACCUCAGGUUAAAAAACAGUCCAGUAUUUUCCACUGGAAACCUGAAUGCAGAGAAGCUGUCUUUCCAAGGCUAAGAAGAGAACAAACAAUCUGCUACUCUAGAUAGUUCAACACCUGGGCAAGUUCCAGAGCUGGUAAAACGCUAAAACUGGGCUGACAAAACAGAGCAAAAUAUUAGUAACAAAAAAUUCACUUAGUCUUAGAAGUUGACAACGGAAGACCAAAAUGAAAUUUGGAGCAAGGGGUCCACUUUGACAGAGAAAUGACACAAGAGUCAUAUCUAAAAUGAGAUGUUUCUCCAUGUAAAUCUUGUUUCUUUUAGUAGAAGACAUUAAAGAAGAAAAAUGUGUAGUUACUGAGCUCUUUAGUGCUUCAACAACAUUGAUUCCUGGCUAUUUCAGUGAAAUACUACACUUUUUACCUUAAUUUUUAAAAUUAUGUCUUUUCUAGCAAUGGAAAAUAAUUAACAUAGAUUUUUAC
rnacentral:lncRNA from 1 species